UGGGGAAUAUUGGGCAAUGGGCGAAAGCCUGACCCAGCAACGCCGCGUGAAGGAAGAAGGCUUUCGGGUUGUAAACUUCUUUUACCAGGGACGAAGGACGUGACGGUACCUGGAGAAAAAGCUCCGGCUAACUACGUGCCAGCAGCCGCGGUAAUACGUAGGGAGCAAGCGUUGUCCGGAUUUACUGGGUGUAAAGGGCGUGUAGGCGGAGACGCAAGUCAGGAGUGAAAUCCCCGGGCUCAACCCGGGAACUGCUUUUGAAACUGCGUCCCUUGAGUAUCGGAGAGGCAGGCGGAAUUCCUAGUGUAGCGGUGAAAUGCGUAGAUAUUAGGAGGAACACCAGUGGCGAAGGCGGCCUGCUGGACGACAACUGACGCUGAGGCGCGAAAGCGUGGGGAGC
rnacentral:rRNA from 1 species